CCUACGUGAGGCAGCAGUGAGGAAUAUUGGUCAAUGGACGAGAGUCUGAACCAGUCAAGUAGCGUGAAGGAUGACUGCCCUAUGGGUUGUCAACUUCUUUUAUAUGGGAAUAAAAUGUUCCACGUGUGGGAUUUUGUAUGUACCAUAUGAAUAAGGAUCGGCUAACUCCGUGCCAGGAGCCGCGGUAAUACGGAGGAUCCGAGCGUUAUCCGGAUUUAUUGGGUUUAAAGGGAGCGUAGGUGGAUUGUUAAGUCAGUUGUGAAAGUUUGCGGCUCAACCGUAAAAUGGCAGUUGAAACUGGCAGUCUUGAGUACAGUAGAGGUGGACGGAAUUCGUGGUGUAGCGGUGAAAUGCUUAGAUAUCACGAAGAACUCCGAUUGCGAAGGCAGCUCACUGGACUGCAACUGACACUGAGGCUCGAAAGUGUGGGUAUCAAACAGGAUUAGAUACCCCGGUAGUC
rnacentral:rRNA from 1 species